rnacentral:rRNA from 1 species
AGUGAACGCUGGCGGUAGGCCUAACACAUGCAAGUCGAACGGCAGCACAGUAAGAGCUUGCUCUUACGGGUGGCGAGUGGCGGACGGGUGAGGAAUACAUCGGAAUCUACUUUUUCGUGGGGGAUAACGUAGGGAAACUUACGCUAAUACCGCAUACGACCUACGGGUGAAAGCAGGGGAUCUUCGGACCUUGCGCGAUUGAAUGAGCCGAUGUCGGAUUAGCUAGUUGGCGGGGUAAAGGCCCACCAAGGCGACGAUCCGUAGCUGGUCUGAGAGGAUGAUCCGCCACACUGGAACUGAGCCACGGUCCAGACUCCUACGGGAGGCAGCAGUGGGGAAUAUUGGACAAUGGGCGCACGCCUGAUCCAGCCAUACCGCGUGGGUGAAGAAGGCCUUCGGGUUGUAAAGCCCUUUUGUUGGGAAAGAAAAGCAGCAGGUUAAUACCCCGCUGUUCUGACGGUACCCAAAGAAUAAGCACCGGCUAACUUCGUG